GGGAAAUCACAAUUCAUGCGGUAUCAUAUUCGUCACAAUUCCAUUGUCCCGGCUCAGGGAGGAAUGCAGUCGUCGUCGCGGGGCAACCCCCCGGUACCGCGGCUCCCGCCGAGUCCCGGAACUUUGAGGCCUUAUACACCGCCGGAUCUAUCUUCGAUACCGCACAUGGACGGUACGCCGCUGCCGAAUCAAACGCCUCAUAACGGCACCUCGAACGGGACUAGCGAGAAUUCGCAGGGAGACGUCACUGGACCUUACAUUGUUGGUAGUCCGAUCGACCUCGGCAACAUUGACAACGUUGAUACUAUCGGUGGGACACUCGGUUCAAUUCGUGAUCGUCGAAAAAGAAACAGAGAGCAUAUUGAACUCCAAGAGACUACGGAAUCCAAUUCCGAUCACGAAGUUGGUACGACGAGAGCAGAAAAUGGGGGGGAUCCCCCGGGUAACGAGGAUCGACCAUCGACUCAUCAGCAGGAAGAGCACGAAGAGAGAAUAGUAUUCAUAAAUGCACCGCAUCAACCGGCCAAAUACAGAAACAAUCACAUAACCACGGCCAAGUACUCUUUUCUCUCUUUCAUACCUUCGUUCCUCUUCGAGCAGUUCCGUCGUUACAGCAACUGUUUCUUCCUCUUCAUAGCCCUCAUGCAGCAAAUACCCGAAGUUUCACCCACCGGACGUUAUACAACUUUGGUUCCGCUGAUUUUCAUUCUCAGCGUGUCAGCGCUCAAAGAGAUAGUCGAAGACAUUAAACGACACAGAGCCGAUGAUGAAAUAAAUAUGAGGGAAGUCGAAGUACUGAGGGAUGGAAAAUGGCAAUGGAUUCAGUGGAGAGCCAUCGCCGUUGGAGAUGUUGUCAAGGUGCACAACAACAAUUUUUUUCCUGCAGACCUCAUACUCUUGUCCUCGUCCGAGCCUCAAGGAAUGUCUUUCAUUGAGACGGCGAAUCUCGACGGCGAAACGAAUCUGAAAAUUCGACAAGCUCAUCCGGAAACCGUUUACUUAUUGGACACCGUGGAAUUGAUGAAUUUUAAAGCUAACAUUCAGUGCGAACCGCCAAAUAGACAUCUCUAUGAAUUCAAUGGGAUUUUGCGCGAGACAAAUAAGCAAAGUGUAGCACUGGGACCCGAUCAACUUUUGCUUCGUGGUGCAAUGCUCAGAAACACCAGAUGGGCAUUCGGUGUUGUAAUCUAUACGGGUCACGAUACGAAACUGAUGCAAAACAAUACGGCGACAGCUCCAUUGAAACGUUCGACUCUCGAUAGAAUGACCAAUACCCAAGUCCUCAUGCUCUUCUUUAUCUUACUCUUGCUAUGUCUGCUCUCUGCUGUAUUCAACGUUCUUUGGAUGAAUGCGAAUUACGAAGGUCUUUCGUACUUAGGAAUUCCAAAGGAAUCCUUGAAAAGUUUUCCCCUCAAUCUUCUCACGUUCAUCAUUCUUUUCAACAAUCUCAUACCCAUAUCGUUACAAGUUACCCUCGAAGUGGUGAGAUUCGUUCAGGCAACCUUCAUAAACAUGGAUAUCGAAAUGUAUCAUCCGGAAACGGACACACCGGCGAUGGCAAGAACAAGCAAUUUGAACGAAGAAUUGGGAAUGGUUAAUUAUAUAUUUACCGAUAAAACUGGUACACUGACGAGAAACGUAAUGGAAUACAAGCGAUGUUCGAUAGCCGGAAAAAUUUACGAUUCGGCGACGUUUACGGAACCUGGGCAAAGCUCGACACAGCGCGCGAGUGAAUUGGUCUCCGAUAUAAUCGAAGGUCGAACCAAGCACGAUCAAUCCGGGAUAAAUGAUAAGAAAAAAUCCUUGUCCGCGGAUAUUUUGCACGAGUUCAUGGUAAUGCUGUCCGUUUGUCAUACCGUCAUACCCGAAAGACAAGAGGACGAAAUAAUAUAUCACGCAGCAUCGCCUGACGAGAGAGCGCUGGUGGACGGUGCGAGAAAAUACGGCUACGUGUUCGACACGAGAACGCCUGCCUAUGUGGAAAUAGUCGCAUUGGGCGAACGUCUGCGUUACGAGAUUCUCAACGUGAUAGAAUUUACAUCGGCAAGAAAAAGGAUGUCGGUGAUCGUGAGAACGCCCGAGGGUCGUAUUAAGUUAUUUUGUAAAGGCGCCGAUUCCGUUAUUUACGAAAGACUCUCUCCUCAAUCGCCGGAAUCUCUCGAUUCCGAAAUUUCCCCGAGCUUCGAUGAUUUUCGUCAAGCGACUCUCGAUCAUCUCGAAGCCUUUGCGACCGAAGGCCUCAGAACUUUGUGCUUCGCUUUCGCCGACAUACCCGAAACUCGUUAUCAAUGGUGGCGUGAGCUUUACCGCAAAGCUGAAAUUAGUAUAUCGAAUCGUGAUACCAAACUCGAAGAUGCUGCGAACUUGAUCGAAACAAAAUUAACUCUUCUGGGAGCUACCGCCAUCGAGGAUCGAUUGCAAGAUCAAGUUCCCGAAACUCUGCUUGCUCUAAUCGAGGCUGACAUCAACGUUUGGGUGUUAACAGGCGACAAACAAGAGACCGCCAUCAAUAUUGGGUAUUCUUGCAAACUAAUAACCCAAUCGAUGCCUCUGAUAAUCGUCAAUGAAAGUUCGCUAGAUAAAACGAGAGAGGUGAUCAACCAGCAUUGCGUAGACUUUGGCCAAGAUCUGCGUUGUCAAAAUGACAUUGGUCUGGUUAUAGAUGGUAAUAGUUUAAAGUAUGCGCUAACGUGCGACCUAAGAAGAGAUUUUCUCGAUUUGUGUACCUCGUGUAAGGUUGUAAUAUGCUGCCGGGUCUCACCGAUGCAGAAAGCCGAGGUGGUAGAUUUAGUGACGAGUAAUACGAAGGCUGUCACGCUUGCUAUUGGGGACGGAGCCAAUGACGUAGCGAUGAUUCAAAAGGCUCACAUCGGUGUCGGUAUUUCCGGUGUGGAGGGACUUCAGGCAGCCUGCGCUUCGGACUACUCGAUAGCGCAAUUCAAAUUUCUUAAGCGUUUACUGUUCGUUCACGGUUCAUGGAACCACAGUAGAAUGUGUAAAUUAAUUUUAUAUUCUUUUUACAAAAAUAUUUGCCUUUACGUGAUCGAACUGUGGUUCGCUAUAUAUUCCGGCUGGUCCGGACAAAUCCUGUUCGAGAGAUGGUCCAUCGGUUUGUACAAUGUGGUAUUCACCGCGGCACCCCCAUUGGCGAUGGGCCUUUUUGACAAAGUUUGUUCAGCCGAAACUCAUCUCGCACAUCCGAGAUUAUACGCUGCCAAAAACACAACCGAGGCCACAUUUAACAUUAAGGUAUUUUGGGUUUGGAUAAUUAACGCCCUGAUACAUUCUUCGUUGUUGUACUGGCUAUCCUUGCUCGCUCUCCAGCACGACGUAGUUUGGGAAAAUGGUCGAGACGGUGGUUACAUCGUUUUAGGAAAUUUUGUCUACACCUACGUGGUGGUGACUGUUUGCGGAAAGGCGGGGCUCGUUACGAAUUCGUGGACGUGGGUCACUCACUUAGCUACGUGGGGAUCGAUAAUACUAUGGUUUUUAUUCAUAGUUAUCUACAGUAAUUUUUGGCCAGCUCUGAAUGUUGGAGCAGUGAUGCUAGGGAACGAUAGAAUGCUCUUCACUUCUCCGGUAUUCUGGCUAGGCCUCAUACUCAUACCAGCUGCUGUUCUUCUCGUCGAUGUUACGAUCAAAGCGGUACAAAACACCAUGUGGAAGCCAUUGAGCGAAGCAGCGAGGGAGCAAGAAAUCAGAAAAUCAGAUCCCGGUGAUUUGUUCACGAAUCAGGAAUACAGAAGCUCGCCUGCAGUGCAUGCCAUCGCAGCGCUCGCGAGGUAUUGACGGAGACGGCGAGGCUACUGAAAAACGUUAAAAGUGUUUUCACCAGAAGGUCUAACGCAGCUACGAGAGUCAAUGUCGAGGUCGAGCUAUCACAUGGUUUCGCUUUUUCGC
rnacentral:misc_RNA from 1 species